rnacentral:rRNA from 1 species
UCAGGCGGCUAUAGCGGCGGGGUCCCACCUCUUCCCAUUCCGAACAGAGAAGUUAAGCCCGCCAUCGCCGAUGGUACUGCGCACUGUGGUAGAGUAGGCAGCCGCCAUUU